GAAAUGCGAUAAGUAAUGUGAAUUGCAGAAUUCAGUGAAUCAUCGAAUCUUUGAACGCACAUUGCGCCCGCCAGCACUCUGGCGGGCAUGCCUGUUCGAGCGUCAUUUCAACCCUCAGAACCCCUUGCGGGAUCUGGCGUUGGGGAUUGGCAUCCAGCCAGCCCCGAAAUCUAGGGGCGGUCCCUCCGCGACCUCCCCUGUGCAGUAGCGAUACCUCGCAGCGGGACAGCGGUCUGACCACGCCGUAAAACCCCCAACUUCUCAAGGUUGACCUCGAAUCAGGUAGGAAUACCCGCUGAACUUAAGC
rnacentral:misc_RNA from 1 species